GACGAACGCUGGCGGCGUGCUUAACACAUGCAAGUCGAACGGAAAGGCCCUGCUUUUGUGGGGUGCUCGAGUGGCGAACGGGUGAGUAACACGUGAGUAACCUGCCCUUGACUUUGGGAUAACUUCAGGAAACUGGGGCUAAUACCGGAUAGGAGCUCCUGCUGCAUGGUGGGGGUUGGAAAGUUUCGGCGGUUGGGGAUGGACGCGCGGCUUAUCAGCUUGUUGGUGGGGUAGUGGCUUACCAAGGCUUUGACGGGUAGCCGGCCUGAGAGGGUGACCGGCCACAAUGGGACUGAGAUAGGGACCAGACGGCAACGGGAGGCAGCAGGGGGAAAUAUUGCACAAUGGGCGGAAGCCGGAUGCAGCAACGCCGGGUGCGGGAUGACGGCCUUUGGGUUGUAAACCGCUUUCGCCUGUGACGAAGCGUGAGUGACGGUAAUGGGUAAAGAAGCACCGGCUAACUACGUG
rnacentral:rRNA from 1 species